GUGCCAGCAGCCGCGGUAAUACGUAGGUGGCAAGCGUUGUCCGGAUUUAUUGGGCGUAAAGCGAGCGCAGGCGGUUCUUUAAGUCUGAUGUGAAAGCCCCCGGCUCAACCGGGGAGGGUCAUUGGAAACUGGAGAACUUGAGUGCAGAAGAGGAGAGUGGAAUUCCAUGUGUAGCGGUGAAAUGCGUAGAUAUAUGGAGGAACACCAGUGGCGAAGGCGACUCUCUGGUCUGUAACUGACGCUGAGGCUCGAAAGCGUGGGGAGCAAACAGGAUUAGAUACCCUUGUAGUCC
rnacentral:rRNA from 1 species